rnacentral:rRNA from 1 species
CACGUAGGCGGCUUUGCAAGUCGGGUGUGAAAUCCCUGAGCUUAACUCAGGAACUGCAUUCGAUACUGCAUCGCUAGAGUAUGCUAGAGGAUAGUGGAAUUCCAGGUGUAGCGGUGAAAUGCGUAGAUAUCUGGAGGAACACCAAUGGCGAAGGCAGCUAUCUGGAGCAAUACUGACGCUGAGGUGCGAAAGCGUGGGGAGCGAACAGGAUUAGAUACCCUGGUAGUCCACGCCCUAAACGAUGAGAACUAGACGUUGGGUAUUUAUACCGAGUGUCGUAGCUAACGCGUUAAGUUCUCCGCCUGGGGAGUACGACCGCAAGGUUGAAACUCAAAGUAAUUGACGGGGGCCCGCACAAGCGGUGGAGCAUGUGGUUUAAUUCGAUGCAACGCGAAGAACCUUACCUACCCUUGACAUCAUCAGAACUUGUUAGAGAUAACUCGGUGCCUUCGGGAACUGAUAGACAGGUGCUGCAUGGCUGUCGUCAGCUCGUGUCGUGAGAUGUUGGGUUAAGUCCCGCAACGAGCGCAACCCUUAUCCUUAGUUGCCAGCGAUUCGGUCGGGAACUCUAAGGAGACUGCCGGUGAUAAACCGGAGGAAGGUGAGGAUGACGUCAAGUCAUCAUGGCCCUUAUGGGUAGGGCUACACACGUGCUACAAUGGACGAUACAGAGGGUCGCCAACCUGCAAAGGGGAGCUAAUCUCAGAAAGUCGUUCUCAGUCCGGAUCGAAGUCUGCAACUCGACUUCGUGAAGUCGGAAUCGCUAGUAAUCGCGAAUCAGCAAUGUCGCGGUGAAUACGUUCCCGGGCCUUGUACACACCGCCCGUCACACCAUGGGAGUUGGUUGCACCAGAAGUGGGUCGUCUAACCUUCGGGGGGAUGCUUACAACGGUGUGGUCAAUGACUGGGGUGAAGUCGUAACAAGGUAGCCGUAGGGGAACCUGUGGCUG